AAGGAAGCAUUUAGCACGGGUUAGGACCCCCUUGUCCGGGUUCACGGGGGACUCGAUCGAGACGGAGGGAUCGAUUAGCUUGGAAGUGGAGAUAGGCACCUCG